UCUGAAUUGGUAUUUAUAACUUUCAUAAACACCUCUCUAACAUGACUUACUGAUUUUAAAUGCGAUUUACAAGUGUGCACAUGUGACCUAAAUACCGCGUCAUGAUUUGUUUGUAGCCUUAUAAAUUAUUCAUGAAUUUUACAAGACGUAUAAUAAACAGUACUAAAACUGUCUGUACCAGUGUGGGUAGUACCAAUGUGAAAAUGCUGUGCUGAGUGGUUAUAUUACUACCUUAAAAAAUAAGCAGAAACUCGACGUUUCCAACGAAGGCCCUUCGUCAAGA